AACGUAGGUUCCGAGCGUUAUCCGGAUUUACUGGGCGUAAAGCGCGUUCAGGCGGUUCGGCAAGUCGGGCAUGAAAUCUCUCGGCUCAACCGGGAGAGGUUGUCCGAUACUGUUGGACUUGAGGGCAGUAGAGGGUGGUGGAAUUCCGGGUGUAGUGGUGAAAUGCGUAGAUAUCCGGAAGAACACCGGAGGCGAAGGCGGCUUGCUGGACCUGGUCUGACGCUGAGGCGCGAAAGCGUGGGGAGCGAACAGG
rnacentral:rRNA from 1 species